ACCAGGGAUUCCCUAGUAGCGGCGAGCGAAGCGGGAAGAGCUCAAAUUUAUAAUCUGGCACCUUCGGUGUCCGAGUUGUAAUCUCUAGAAAUGUUUUCCGCGUUGGACCGCACACAAGUCUGUUGGAAUACAGCGGCAUAGUGGUGAGACCCCCGUAUAUGGUGCGGACGCCCAGCGCUUUGUGAUACAUUUUCGAAGAGUCGAGUUGUUUGGGAAUGCAGCUCAAAUUGGGUGGUAAAUUCCAUCUAAAGCUAAAUAUUGGCGAGAGACCGAUAGCGAACAAGUACCGUGAGGGAAAGAUGAAAAGCACUUUGGAAAGAGAGUUAACAGUACGUGAAAUUGUUGGAAGGGAAACGCUUGAAGUCAGACUUGCUUGCCGAGCAAUCGGUUUGCAGGCCAGCAUCAGUUUUCCGGGAUGGAUAAUGGUAGAGAGAAGGUAGCAGUUUCGGCUGUGUUAUAGCUCUCUGCUGGAUACAUCUUGGGGGACUGAGGAACGCAGUGUGCCUUUUGGCGGGGGUUUCGACCUCUUCACACUUAGGAUGCUGGUGGAAUGGCUUUAAACGACCCGUCUUGAAMMMCSGGACACAA
rnacentral:rRNA from 1 species